GAGCAUUUGGUGUAAGUGGUUGCAUAUGGGAUUUUAACUAUUCGUUUAUUGAAUCCUUAGUCCCAGGGGACCGAGUUCGAUUCUCGGAAUGCUCA
rnacentral:tRNA from 1 species